CAGGCAGGUGGGAUGAGAAAUUCACUACUGCCUUGAGAAGGUUGUGGGUGUGCCUGAAGAUUGUCCAGGUGAAUGAAAAAACACAGAGAGAAGUCUAAUCCAUCUCACAAAGAGGAAUGCAAUCAGGGGGGAAUACCUGCAAUUCCCUUUCAGCUUCAUCAGUUAAAAAGAAAUUACUGCUUCACACUGCCAUACUUCACCAUGCCAACCAAUCCUCAAAAAUAGAGUGCCAUGUGUAGGAUAUCUGCUUACCUCAACUGAGAAAAUUUAACUGGAGAGGAAGAAUUGGGGAUGGUGAAGAUGAAUCUCAUAGCAGCUUGUCUGGCAGGGGACAAAAGACACACAAGAGGAAAAGGGAAUCUCUCAUCUGUCAAGUGCCCUGGAGAGACAGUGAGACAAGUCUGGAAUUCCUACCUAUCAACCAGGUUGUGAUCAGCUCUGCCAUUCAGCUGGAUUCUGACAGACUUUCUAGGCUGGAUCAUUCCUGAUGGGAGCUCCUUCUUCUGGAAUUGCUUUGUCUGUUCCCAUUCAAGUAUUUCCCUCUGCAGGCCACUGAUCCCUCACAAGUUUUCAUCUCAGUUUCUUAUAUUCUCCAAAGAAAGGAAGUCACAAAAUGCAUUUUUGCUGAAGAUGAUGAGGAUGCUUAUGGCCCUGAAGAACUUCAGUCCACAAGCCUGAGCUGGCCCUCCAGAAGAUUUUUGCAUCCGGAAUAGGUGGAUUCUUACUCUUCUUGUAGGACAUGCUCUUUUGACAGGAGCCUGUCACAUCACAGACAGCUCGUUGGAUCCUGACAGGUUUUGCAUGCUCUAUUUGUGGGAAGCAACACUACAUCAGAGAGGUUGAUAUGUUUAGGAGAAAACCCACUGAAGCCAGAUCCACAGUGUGCAGCAGCAGUGUCCGUGUCUCUGGCCAAGGCCACGUGUGCAUCCAGAGGGGAAGGAGGAUGAGGAGCUGAAGGCUGCAGCUCUCCCAAAGCUCCUGGGUAACAGGAUUUUCUGCCAUCCCUGAGUGUGAUCAGCAAAAUUCAGGCUGGUGUUUCAGAGAGGUAAAAUGGCAACAAGGAGCACUGUCAGCCUGAGUCCCACAGCAGCCAGUUGGUCACGGAUGUUUCAUGGAUGUGUCACUUUCAUUUCAAAUAAGAGCACAGAGAAUGUUUCCAAACACCUGUCAGUUGACAAGAACCAGCAUGAAGAGAUUGUAAAUGGAUUGUACUGGUAAAAAUCUCUACAGGGAAAUGUAAGGUAAAAAAACAUUGUUGUAAAGAACAUUUCUCCCCAUCAUCUUUGGUCUAAAACCAUAAAGAACGAGGAUUUUACACUUAAAGAAAAAACAUCCAGACAGUUUAUGCUUAUGAUUCAAAUUGUUUUAUGGUUUGAAUUGUAAGCAGUUCUCUUAACAAAGGGUGCAGCAAAUUGAUGUAGAGGGGAAGGAUGCUGAGCUCUCAGGGAUGUGAUGGAGGCUCUCAGGUCACUGAAGACCACACAGAGGACCCGGCUUGAGGAGCAGGAUGCAAAGGGCACAAAAACCUCCCUCUCUAGGUGCCAGCAAGCAGCCUGAGUGUGUUUUGGCCUGUCAAUAUGAAAGUGAAUGUACCAGCUGAAUUGCUUGGAUUUGUCUCAUACUUGUGCCCUGUUGUCCUUUCAGAAACAGUGGAGCAAUUUGUUAUUUCCGAGUUAUCAACUCAGAUCCAUUCAAGCUUAAAGGAUGUGAUUAAAUUAUUAAGGUCAUAAAAUGCUGUCGUUUCAAAGAGGCUUGCUCAGAUUAUGUUUGCUGGAAACACAAGACAGGUUGUAAGCUGGUGUCAGCUGCUCAGAAGGUUCACUCACCACAAGGACGGUUUGCUUUGUCACAAAAAGUGUAGACGUGAAGGGACGUGUCCAUGCUAGAAUGCCAUGAAAUCCAGGAGCUACAAGGAAAAGAAGAACUACACCACAUAAUGAAGAAAAAGGAGGAGAUAUAUGAUAGCUGCCAUUCCAACUGUUAUGACAGCACCAUUUUAAUUAAUGGCAAACCAUUUUUAAAUUUCAUUUUAAAAAACUCAAAACUAAAUGAAAAUGUUUAGAGAAAAUAUGCUGAGUCAAACAGUUAUGGGGUGACCCUCAAAAGACACAUUUUCCAAAUGAUUAACAAAUCCAUCUAAAAGACCAUUUUCCAAAAUGAAACUAAUAAUUUUUUAAAAAUACCAACCAGCUUUUUCAUCUAAAUGUCAAAAAAAUCAACCAUUGUCUUUCACAGGAAUUCUGUCUCAGUCCUCUCUGUACUGGUGAAGAAACAGAGAUUUUGGUUCUGUUCCAGUGACAAAACCAUCACAUCUUGUAUCAUACUUCUGGGCUGCAUGUUUGACAGCAGAAUGCUGGACAAAUCUAACCUCUGCUUGACACCACAGACCACAGGAGAACACAGCAGGUCUUUUCAGCUUCAUGGGUUCAAUAAAUCUUGGCUUGUUGCAUUAAUAAUAUUUGUUCAAAUUGAUCUGACCUUCCAUGUUGACUGGGCUUGGGAAUUCUCUGACAAUCCAGAUGACUCUUUUAUUUUAUUUCAAGGAUAUGUAUCAAAAUUUAAAGCAUGUUAAAAUAAUACAAACAGUUUCCAAAUGGGAAUAACAGUAACAGGACAGAAAACUGGUAUCUGAAAGUCAAAUGAGGACUACAUCUAUGUAACUGAUUG